rnacentral:rRNA from 1 species
GUGCCAGCCGCCGCGGUAAUACGUAGGGGGCAAGCGUUGUCCGGAAUUAUUGGGCGUAAAGCGCGCGCAGGCGGCCUUGUAAGUCUGUCGUUUAAACUCGGAGCUCAACUUCGAGUCGCGAUGGAAACUGCAAAGCUUGAGUGCAGAAGAGGAAAGUGGAAUUCCACGUGUAGCGGUGAAAUGCGUAGAGAUGUGGAGGAACACCAGUGGCGAAGGCGACUUUCUGGGCUGUAACUGACGCUGAGGCGCGAAAGCGUGGGGAGCAAACAGGAUUAGAUACCCUCGUAGUCC